UACGGGGGGAGCAAGCGUUGUUCGGAUUUACUGGGCGUAAAGGGCGCGUAGGCGGUCAGCACAAGUCGGUUGUGAAAUCUCCGGGCUUAACCCGGAAAGGUCAACUGAUACUGUGCGACUAGAGUGCGGAAGGGGCAACUGGAAUUCUCGGUGUAGCGGUGAAAUGCGUAGAUAUCGAGAGGAACACCUGCGGCGAAGGCGGGUCUCUGGACAGUUCCUGACGCUGAGGCGCGAAGGCCAGGGGAGCAAACGGG
rnacentral:rRNA from 1 species